rnacentral:rRNA from 1 species
AUGUGGGAGGAAUGCUUGCCUCAUAUUGAAUUUGCUUAUAAUCGUUCAUUGCAUUCUACUACUAAGAUGUGCCCUUUUGAAGUUGUGUAUGGUUUCCUACCUCGUGCACCUAUUGAUUUGUUGCCUCUUCCAUCUUCGGAGAAGGUUAAUUUUGAUGCUAAACAACGUGCUGAAUUGAUUUUAAAAAUGCAUGAGUUAACUAAGGAAAACAUUGAGCGCAUGAAUGCUAAAUAUAAACUUGCUGGAGAUAAGGGUAGAAAACAUGUUGUGUUUGCACCUGGAGAUCUUGUUUGGUUACAUUUGCGUAAGGAUAGAUUUCCUGAUUUGCGCAAAUCAAAGUUAAUGCCACGUGCUGAUGGUCCCUUUAAGGUGUUAGAGAAAAUAAAUGAUAAUGCAUAUAAACUUGAGCUACCUGCAAAUUUUGGGGUUAGUCCCACUUUUAACAUUGCAGAUUUGAAGCCUUAUUUGGGUGAGGAAGAUGAACUUCCGUCGAGGACGACUUCAUUUCAAGAAGGGGAGGAUGAUGAGGACAUCAAUACAAUUGUUACACCCACAGCCCCUGCUGCUAUACAUACUGGACCAAUUACUAGAGCUCGUGCACGCCAACUAAAUUACCAGGAAACAGACCCUCGUGGUCAGGUUGAUCGUGCUCCGGCGUGGUCAAUAACCUCUCGGAGUUGGUUUAGCGAUUGCUAA